UCUCUCGGUGACGGAAGCUGCACAUUUUUUGGAAGGAAUGGAGAAGCUGCUGGAGGUUUGGUUCUCCCACAGCAACCUGACACAAACCAAGGAUCUGGGGAUCUUCGCACUAUCCCGAGAUCUGAGUGGGACAUAUACUUACAUACUCUGGAUUUCCCAGAGAGUCGAGUAAUCAGUCAGCCAGAAAAGACCCUGGAAAUUCUGAUGAGUGAGCUUGACUCAGCAGUUAUGGACCAGUUCUACAUGAAAGAUGGUGUUACGGCAAAGGAUGUCACUCGUGAGACUGGAAUUCGUGACCUGAUACCAGGUUCUGUCAUUGAUGUUCAAUCUUUGUGGGUAUUAAAUGAAUGGAAUGAAAUCUGAUGGAACUUAGUGGACUAUUCACAUCACUCCAAAACCAGAACUUUCUUAUGUUAGCUUUGAAACAAACUUAAGUCAGACUUCCUAUGCUGACCUGAUCACGAAAGUUGUGGAAGUCUUCAAGCCAGGAAAAUCUGUGACCACCUUGUUUGUUAAUCAGAGUUCUAAAUGUUGCACAGUGCUUGCUUCGCCCCAGAAGAUUGAAGGCUUUAAACAUCUUGAUUGCCAGAGUGCUAUGUUCAAUGAUUACAAUUUUGUUUUUACCAGUUUUGUUAAGAAGCAGCAACAACAGCAGAGUUGAUUAAGAAAAAUGAAGAAAAACGCAAAAAGAGAACACAAGCAGAAGGUGGUGGCUGCUUUCUAGAUGUUAAUACCGGAGGCCAUGCUUUCCAUAACCACCACCUACCUUGUAGUUGCAGAGAGGACUAGAUGUAAUGAUAGUGUAAUCAUUUUGAAUUGUAUGCAUUAUUAUAUCAAAGAGUUAGAUAUAUUCCAUGAAUAUUCUCUUCUGUGUUUAGGUAUUCUAUGCCAUUCUUGCUGUGAAAUUGAUGUGCAUGUAGAAAAAACCUUUUACUGUAUGGAACUUUACAACCCUUGUGAAAACAAUUCAAUUUGGUUUAUGCACAGUGUAAUAUUUCUCUAGGUAUCAUCCAAAAUUCCUCACGGACAAGGCUUUCGUUCUCAUUGGGUGUUGGCCUCAGCCAAACCAUCUGGGACUGUUCUAUUAAACUGCUGGCAGAAUUUUACAUACAGUUACCUCCACUUUCUAGAACUAAUUAUUUACUAAUGUUAUUGGAACCAAUUUCUACUUCAUACAGAUGUUUUUUGCAACAGAAAUUAAAGUUUUUUCCCACAAAUCAGGUCCUGUUAAGAAAAUGAUUCCAGUUACUUGUUUUGUGUAUUACUAUUUUAAAAUUAUUGGUCCAUGCAUUUGUAGUCCUAUAAUUGAUUUCUUCUCUCACUAGGGUGUCUUUCCUCAAACCCUCCAAAUAAAGCACUACACUG